ACACGCUGGCGGCGUGCCUAACACAUGCAAGUCGAGCGGGGUUGAGGCGAGAGGUAACUCGAACUUCUACCUAGCGGCGGACGGGUGAGUAACGCGUGGGCAACCUGCCUCAAGGUUUGGGAUAACAGCCCGAAAGGGCUGCUAAUACCGGAUAUGCCUAUGGCCUCGCAUGGGGCUAUGAGCAAAGGGGAAACCCGCCUUGAGAUGGGCCCGCGUCCCAUCAGCUAGUUGGUGAGGUAACAGCUCACCAAGGCGACGACGGGUAGCCGGCCUGAGAGGGUGACCGGCCACACUGGGACUGAGACACGGCCCAGACUCCUACGGGGGGCAGCAGUGGGGGAUCUUGCACAAUGGGCGAAAGCCUGAUGCAGCGACGCCGCGUGAGCGAAGAAGGCCUUCGGGUUGUAAAGCUCUGUCUGGAGGGACGAACAAAAUGACGGUACCUCCGGAGGAAGCCACGGCUAACUACGUG
rnacentral:rRNA from 1 species